AAGAAAAAGAAAAAGAAAAAGAAAAGAAAAGGAAAAAGAAAAAGAAAGAAACAUCUUUGCAUCUCAAAGAGCUUCAGCCCAGGGGAGGAAGGUAGAGAACGCCAAUCUAGAAGAUCUCUUCUCACGCAGGCUGCAGAGAAGGCCCACUGCCCAUCAACCUGCAUGAUGGUUCCCGCCUGAUAAGCUGCCUUAGGUCAAGCUAAGACAGGAAUCUGUGUAUCUGCACAUGGGGAAACCUAUAUGAGGAUGUUCAUGAGGAUAGAGGAAACAUGGGAAACAACCCGAAUGCCCAUCAGCACAACAGAAAUACAAAAUGUAACAAAUCCAUCUGAAGGACUGGCACACACAGCCCUCAGCAGGAAUGAAGUGGCCCCAGUGAAUAGCAACAACAAAUCUCAAACCAACGUCAGAUGAAAAGCACAGGUCGAAGAGAAAAAAAAAAAAAAAGCACAGGCCACAGAGCCAUGCACAG